GAUAAGGUUAAGUGAAUAAGGGCGCACGGUGGAUGCCUUGGCACUAGGAGCCGAUGAAGGACGGGACUAACACCGAUAUGCUUUGGGGAGCUGUACGUAAGCUAUGAUCCAGAGAUUUCCGAAUGGGGGAACCCAGCAUCUUUAAUAGGAUGUUACGAUUGUGUGAAUACAUAGCACAUUCGAGGUAGACGCAGAGAACUGAAACAUCUAAGUACCUGCAGGAAGAGAAAGAAAAUUCGAUUCCCUGAGUAGCGGCGAGCGAAACGGGAAAAGCCCAAACCAGCAAGCUUGCUUGUUGGGGUUGUAGGACUCCAAUAUGGUAGUUCUUUCAGAUAGUCGAAUGACUUGGAAAAGUCAGUCAAAGAGGGUAAAAACCCCGUAGACGAA
rnacentral:rRNA from 1 species